ACGAACGCUGGCGGCGUGCCUAACACAUGCAAGUCGAACGGAGAUAUGAUUUCGGUUGUAUCUUAGUGGCGAACGGGUGAGUAACGCGUGAGCAACCUGACUCUUAGAGGGGGAUAACACUCGGAAACGGGUGCUAAUACCGCAUAAGACCACGACAUGGCAUCAUGACGAGGUCAAAGGAGCAAUCCGCUGAGAGAGGGGCUCGCGUCCCAUUAGAUAGAUGGCGGGGUAACGGCCCACCAUGUCAGCGAUGGGUAGCCGAGCUGAGAGGCUGAUCGGCCACACUGGAACUGAGACACGGUCCAGACUCCUACGGGAGGCAGCAGUGGGGAAUAUUGGGCAAUGGGCGCAAGCCUGACCCAGCAACGCCGCGUGAGGGAAGAAGGCUUUCGGGUUGUAAACCUCUGUCCUUGGUGACGAAAAAAAUGACGGUAGCCAAGGAGGAAGCCCCGGCUAACUACGU
rnacentral:rRNA from 1 species